UCACGAAAGCAAAACUCACAAACCGGGAUUAGAUACCCCGCUAUGCCUGCCAUAAAUAAACCACCGUCGCCAGGGCACUACGAACAAUCGUUUAAAACCCAAAGAACUUGACGGCACCCUAAACCCACCUAGAGGAGCCUGUCCUAUAACCCGAUACCCCACGUUUUAACCCCGCCGCCUCUCGCCCCCAGUCUAUAUACCGCCGUCGCCAGCCAACCUUAUAAAAGAAUAACCGUAGGCAAAGAAGCUAUCUAUGCAAAUACGUCAGGUCGAGGUGCAGCCUAUGAGGCAGGCAGAGAUGGGCUACACUCUCUCCCCAGAGUAUACGAAUAACUUAAUGAAAUAAUUUUGAAGGUGGAUUUAGCAGUAAACAAGAAUAGUUUGUCUAGUUGAAGUUGGCCACUAGGGUGCGUACACACCGCCCGUCACUCUCCCACACCCCUCCCGGAGAAAAG
rnacentral:rRNA from 1 species